CCACGGGGUCCUGUGGAUGACUCCUGGCUGCAGGUGCAGAGCGUCCCGGUCGGACGCAGGUCGCCCAAGUCCAGCCCCACGACGCAGUGCCGACUCCCCGCCGUGCCCCCAGCCCGGCCCGGGUUGCGGAGCCCUGCUCCUGGGCCUCUGCCUGCUGCGUCCACCCUGGGGGAAGCGCCCGUCGUACCCUCCACACCGGGGGCUUCCCCUGACCCCUUAGGCCCUCCCCCUGCAGGUGCCCUCGCGCCCCUCCCGGGGUCCCCAGGUGAGUAGGGGCUGAAUAUGACAGGAGAGGCCGCCGGACGGGCGUGGCCGGGAGGGAAAUGGGGCUGGAUUCUAGAGCGUCGGACCUGGCCGCCAGAACUGGCCGUCUCCGUCCCGGGCACUCCGACCGUGGGACCGGAGCCCUGAGUGGCGGAGAGCUGGCGGAGCCUGCCCCCAAAGGAGCACUGAGUCCCGGAAGUGGUCUUUUUGUGGAGGGGGCUGUGGGGCUCGUCCCACCUGCCCCCUUCUUUCCAGCACUUGCAUGGCGCUUCCCUCUAUUUUCACUCUUGGCGGCCGCCCCACACGUUGCAUUCCUCCUCGUUUCUUCUUCCCGCUGUCCUCCAUCCUCCAUUCCGUCAAACCCCUCUCCCAGCCCCUGGGGAGCCUACCUCAGGUCAGAGAGUCUGAACCCCGAGAUGUUCUGGGUGUGUGGAUUUCCUUCAGCUACCCUGAUGUCCCCACUUCCAAGUCCUGACUCCUUUGAGCCAUCCCAGGGGGUGUCUGGCCACUGGCCCACAGGAGCAGAGGCCAGGCUGUGACUGUGAGCAUCAAGGUGUGUGAUGUGUGUGUGGGUUUGCACACGAGUGUGAGUGGAAGAAUGGCACCAGGCCUGGGCUAGGACAGAAGCAGCUGGGGAAGGAGCCUGGGGGGCAUGGGCAAUCUGAUUUUUCCUCCACCCCCACCCC
rnacentral:lncRNA from 1 species